UCAAGACUAAGCCAUGCAUGUCUAAGUAUAAGCGAUCUUAUACGGCGAAACUGCGAAUGGCUCAUUAAAUCAGUUAUAGUUUAUUUGAUGGUCUCUCACCACUUGGAUAACCGUGGUAAUUCUAGAGCUAAUACAUGCGUCGAGUCCCGACUGUCGCGGAAGGGAUGUAUUUAUUAGAUUCAAAACCAAUGCGGGGCYCCGGUCCCGGUCUUUUGGUGAUUCAUAGUAACUGUUCGGAGCGCAGGGCCUUAWGCGCCGGCGCCGGAUCAUUCAAGUUUCUGCCCUAUCAACUGUCGAUGGUAAGGUAUUGGCUUACCAUGGUUGCAACGGGUGACGGAGAAUUAGGGUUCGAUUCCGGAGAGGGAGCCUGAGAAACGGCCACCACAUCCAAGGAAGGCAGCAGGCGCGCAAAUUACCCAAUCCCGACACGGGGAGGUAGUGACAAUAAAUAACAAUACAGGGCUUUCGUAAGUCUUGUAAUUGGAAUGAGAACAAUUUAAAUCCCUUAACGAGGAACAAUUGGAGGGCAAGUCUGGUGCCAGCAGCCGCGGUAAUUCCAGCUCCAAUAGCGUAUAUUAAAGUUGUUGCAGUUAAAAAGCUCGUAGUUGGAUUUCGGCGGCGCGGCGUCGGUCCGCCUGGCGGCGUGUCACUGGCGCCGCGCGGCUUUCUCUCGAGGGCCGCGCGUGCUCUUGAGUGAGCGUGCGCGUUACUCGGGACGUUUACUUUGAAAAAAUUAGAGUGUUCAAAGCAGGCUUUGGGGCUUGAAUACAUUAGCAUGGAAUAAUGGAAUAGGACGUCGGUCCUGUUUUGUUGGUUUCCGGGACCGAGGUAAUGAUUAAUAGGGACAGUUGGGGGCAUUCGUAUUCAAUUGUCAGAGGUGAAAUUCUUGGAUUUAUGGAAGACGGACGCAUGCGAAAGCAUUUGCCAAGGAUGUUUUC
rnacentral:rRNA from 1 species